rnacentral:rRNA from 1 species
GACGAACGCUGGCGGCGUGCUUAACACAUGCAAGUCGAACGGAAAGGCCCUGCUUUUGUGGGGUGCUCGCGUGGCGAACGGGUGAGUAACACGUGAGUAACCUUCCCUUUACUUUGGGAUAACUUCAGGCAACUGGUGCUACUACCUGCUAGGAGCUCCUGCUGCAUGGUGGUGUUUGGAAAUUUUCGGCUGUUGUGGAUCGACGUGGGGCUUAUCAGCUUGUUGGUGGGGUAGUGGCUUACCAAGGCUUUGACGGGUAGCCGGCCUGAGAGGGUGACCGGCGACAUGGGGACUGAGAUACGGCGCAGACUCCAACGGGAGGCAGCAGUGGGGAACAUUGUACAAUGGGCGGAAGCGUGAUGCAGAGAUGCCGCGAGCGGGAUGAAGGCCUUCGGGUUGUAAACCGCAUUAGCUUGUGACGAAGCGUGAGUGACGGUAAUAGGUAAAGAAGCACCGGCUAACUACGUG